UACGUAGGGUGCGAGCGUUGUCCGGAAUUAUUGGGCGUAAAGGGCUCGUAGGCGGUUUGUCACGUCGGGAGUGAAAACACGGGGCUUAACUUCGUGCCUGCUUUCGAUACGGGCAGACUAGAGGUAUGCAGGGGAGAACGGAAUUCCUGGUGUAGCGGUGAAAUGCGCAGAUAUCAGGAGGAACACCGGUGGCGAAGGCGGUUCUCUGGGCAUUACCUGACGCUGAGGAGCGAAAGUGUGGGGAGCGAACAGG
rnacentral:rRNA from 1 species